AUCUUUAAAAUUAAAUAAUUUGGCGGUAUUUUAGUCUGUUCAGAGGAACCUGUUUUUUAAUCGAUAAUCCACGAUAAUUUUUACCUAGUCUUUAAGUUUACAUAUCGUCGUUAAUUAAAAAUUUUAGGAUAUAAUUUUUUCAGAUCAAGGUGUAGUAUAUGGCUAGGUUAGAAUGGGUUACAUUAAAAAUCUUUAAUAAAAUGGAUUUGAGAGUAAGCUCUAAAAUAUGUACAUAUCGCCCGUCGCUUUCAUUUUAAGGUGAAAUAAGUCGUAACAAAGUAGGCUUAUUGGAAAAUGAGCCUAGAAUGCAAGUUAGAGCUUGAUAAGCAUUUUAUUUACAUUAAAAGGUUAGUUGUUAGAUUCAACUUAACUUGAUUUGAUAAGAUUAUUUAGUAGGAUUUUUGUUUUGUUUUGAGGGAAGAAUUUUUGUUUUUAUUAUAUUUUUGAAUAAAUUUAAUGAUAAUUUAAAGUACUGUAAAGGAACUUUUAUUUAAUAGGAAAAGAAAUCUUUUUUUGAUGUACCUUGUGUGUCAGGGUUUAUUAAUUUGAAUUUCCCGGUUCUAGAAGAGCUAGUUUUACUGUAAAAUAAGUAUUUUGAAUUUUUUUCUUGUAAUGAAAUGUUAAUCGUUUCUAGAUAUAUCUGGUUUUUUAAGAAAUUAAUUUAAUUAAUUUGGUAUUAUAAAGUUUAUGGGGGAUAAGCUCCUUAAUUUAUUUUUAUAAGUUUUUGUUUAGUUAAAAUCAAUAGAAUUAGAAUUUUUCAUUUUUAAUAGGAUGUUAUAAUUAAUUGUUUUAGAUUUUUUAUUAAAAUUUUUGAUUUAAUUUUUUUUUCAAAGUAAUAAUGAUAGAAUUAGUAAGGUUGAUUUAAGGAAUUCGGCAAAUAUAAUUUUCACCUGUUUAUUAAAAACAUGUCCUUUUGAUGAUGAUUUAAGGUCUGACCUGCCCAAUGAUUUAAUGGCCGCAGUAUUUUGACUGUGCAAAGGUAGCAUAAUCAUUAGUUUCCUAAUUAGGAGCUGGAAUGAAUGGUUUGAUGAAAAAUUUUCUGUCUCUAGAAUUUUAUUUUUAAGUUAAAAAGCUUAAAUUUUUUAUAAAGACGAGAAGACCCUAUAGAGUUUUUUUGUUGGGGUGACAGUAAAAUUUAAUAAACUUUUUGUUUUUAUGAGUUUUUGAUCCUAGAUUACAAGAUAAAAUUACCUUAGGGAUAACAGCGUAAUUUUUUUGGAAAGUUCUUAUUG
rnacentral:rRNA from 1 species